UGCAUUCAUUUAGAAAUAUGAAGAAAAAAGAUCAGUAUAGAAAGACAUAAAGUAUGCAAACAAAGUAUCCUAUACCCCAAAAUUAUAUACAAAUAUUUAAAACGGAAAGCAUGCAGCCAAGAACCUCUCCCCUUUAUUAGUUAUUCAUCAACUAUUUAAUAAAUCUAAUCAAAUAUAGAAGCAUAACAGAAUGAGUUGUAAAAUUGCACACAAUUCAACAAUAAUUAAAUUUUGUUUU